UACGUAGGGGGCUAGCGUUGUCCGGAAUCAUUGGGCGUAAAGAGCUCGUAGGCGGUUUGUCGCGUCGAUCGUGAAAACUUGGGGCUUAACCCUGAGCUUGCGGUCGAUACGGGCAUGACUGGAGUUCGGCAGGGGAGACUGGAAUUCCUGGUGUAGCGGUGAAAUGCGCAGAUAUCAGGAGGAACACCCGUGGCGAAGGCGGCUCUCUGGGACGGUACUGACGCUGAGACGCGAAAGCGUGGGGAGCGAACAGG
rnacentral:rRNA from 1 species